CACGUAGGGGGCGAGCGUUGUCCGGAAUCAUUGGGCGUAAAGAGCUCGUAGGCGGCUCAGUAAGUCGGGUGUGAAACCCUCAGGCUCAACCUGGGGAGCGCCACCCGAUACUGCUGUGGCUAGAGUCCAGUAGGGGAGUGUGGAAUUCCCGGUGUAGCGGUGAAAUGCGCAGAUAUCGGGAGGAACACCAGCGGCGAAGGCGGCACUCUGGGCUGGAACUGACGCUGAGGAGCGAAAGCGUGGGUAGCAAACAGG
rnacentral:rRNA from 1 species